rnacentral:misc_RNA from 1 species
CUGAAGAUCAUGCUCUCCCCAUGUUGGAGUCUAGUGUUCUGAGCAGCUGUGAUGGUAACAUUGUAGGUGCAAGUGGACUGGUGUCCCCCUCCGAGGGCUCGGAAAAGAAACAACUUGAUGGCCUCCCCAAUAAGAAGAGUCUUGAGAAAGUUGGGGUUGGUGUUUUCAGGGAACAGGAAGGUGGUUCUGGUGACCAUGUUGGUGUAAUUGCAGCAGCAGAAAUUAAUACAGAUAUCAAAACCAGGAAGAGGAAACC